AUUGAACGCUGGCGGCAUGCCUUACACAUGCAAGUCGAACGGCAGCACGGGAGCAAUCCUGGUGGCGAGUGGCGAACGGGUGAGUAAUAUAUCGGAACGUGCCCAGUCGUGGGGAUAACGUAGCGAAAGCUACGCUAAUACCGCAUACGAUCUAUGGAUGAAAGCGGGGGAUCGCAAGACCUCGCGCGAUUGGAGCGGCCGAUAUCAGAUUAGGUAGUUGGUGAGGUAAAGGCUCACCAAGCCGACGAUCUGUAGCUGGUCUGAGAGGACGACCAGCCACACUGGGACUGAGACACGGCCCAGACUCCUACGGGAGGCAGCAGUGGGGGAAUUUUUGGACAAUGGGCGGCAAGCCUGAUCCAGCAAUGCCGCGUGCAGGAUGAAGGCCUCGGUU
rnacentral:rRNA from 1 species